UUCAGUCAUGUGCUGUGUGGCCAGAUCAGCUCCGGCAGUUGCCACUCUUUCCAGGAGACUCUGUGGUCGCUGCAUACCAGGACCAUGGGAACCAUGAUGCCAGGUCUGGAUGACUAGAAAUACCAUGGUGAAGCAUGGAAACCAUAGAACAGAUCAUUGUUUGUUAUUAUGGAUUAUAAAACCCAAACCCAAACAUACCACAACACAGUUGAGACAAAACUACACACCAUCCUGUGCAAGAAACCACAUGACUUCUUGUGUUGAGUGAUCAACACAAGGCCAACUCUUUGGCCUUCAAAAGGGCCA